rnacentral:rRNA from 1 species
UACGUAGGGUGCAAGCGUUGUCCGGAAUUAUUGGGCGUAAAGAGCUCGUAGGCGGUUUGUCGCGUCUGCUGUGAAAACCCGAGGCUCAACCUCGGGCCUGCAGUGGGUACGGGCAGACUAGAGUGCGGUAGGGGAGAUUGGAAUUCCUGGUGUAGCGGUGGAAUGCGCAGAUAUCAGGAGGAACACCGGUGGCGAAGGCGGGUCUCUGGGCAGUAACUGACGCUGAGGAGCGAAAGCGUGGGGAGCGAGCAGG